rnacentral:tRNA from 1 species
GCCAGUUUGGCUCAGAGGAUAGAGUGUCGGCCCAUGCUCUGAAGAGUCACGGGUUCGAUUCCCGUCAAAGGCA